rnacentral:rRNA from 1 species
CAUAGUAGUGGUGAAUCAUCGAAUCUUUGAACGCACUUUGCACCUAGUGGCUUUUGUCACUAGGUAUACUUGUUUGAGUAUCAAAAACAUCCUCACCUACCUUUCGGGGCAAGGUGGACUUGAGAUUCGACUGUGAAAGGUCGUCUCUUUAAAUGUGGUGGUCCUCUGUUGGCAGGUCUCCGUCUGGAACCGGACAGACUAUUGGGAUAACAUCCUAACGAUCGUCUGUUGGUUCAUCUAUAUUAGGCGUUGACUGACCUUGGCCAACCUUGAAGAAGCAUGGGCAUGCCUUUGGCAUCUUAUGUGACUUUACGAGUUGAACAGUAUACACAAACAUCGCUUUGUGCCUGUCUGUCCAAUUGUGAUAUGAUCUCAAAUCAAGUAAGGAUACCCGCUGAACUUAAGCAUAUCAAUAAGCGGAGG